GUGGGGAAUUUUGGACAAUGGGCGCAAGCCUGAUCCAGCAAUGCCGCGUGCAGGAAGAAGGCCUUCGGGUUGUAAACUGCUUUUGUACGGAACGAAACGGUCCGGGUUAAUACCCUGGGCUAAUGACGGUACCGUAAGAAUAAGCACCGGCUAACUACGUGCCAGCAGCCGCGGUAAUACGUAGGGUGCAAGCGUUAAUCGGAAUUACUGGGCGUAAAGCGUGCGCAGGCGGUGCUGUAAGACAGGCGUGAAAUCCCCGGGCUCAACCUGGGAAUUGCGCUUGUGACUGCAGUGCUGGAGUGCGGCAGAGGGGGAUGGAAUUCCGCGUGUAGCAGUGAAAUGCGUAGAUAUGCGGAGGAACACCGAUGGCGAAGGCAAUCCCCUGGGCCUGCACUGACGCUCAUGCACGAAAGCGUGGGGAGCAAACAGGAUUAGAAACCCGAGUAGUCC
rnacentral:rRNA from 1 species